GGUAGCGGGUUGAGAGGUGAUCCGCCACACUGGACUGAGACACGGACCAGACUCCUACGGGAGGCAGCAGUGAGGAAUAUUGCACAAUGGGGGGAACCCUGUGCAGCAACGCCGCGUGGAGGAAGACGCAUUUCGUGUGUAAACUCCUUUUAUAUGUCAAGAAGUGACGGUAGCAUAUGAAUAAGCACCGGCUAACUCCGUGCCAGCAGCCGCGGUAAUACGGAGGGUGCAAGCGUUAUUCGGAAUCACUGGGCGUAAAGGACACGUAGGCGGGAGGUCAAGUCUGAUGUGAAAUCCUAUGGCUUAACCAUAGAACUGCAUUGGAAACUGGCUACCUAGAGUAU
rnacentral:rRNA from 1 species